rnacentral:lncRNA from 1 species
UUUCUCAUGCCAACAAAUCAAUAAAAUUAAUAUUAUUUUAGAAAGUACAAUAUUUUUCUUUUACAUUUGUAUACACAAAGUGAAAUCUUAAUUAAGAUAUUGUGUUUGUAUAUACAUUCUACAAUAAUACAUGAAACAAGAUCCUAAUACAAGACUAGUUAUAUAAGAGUGAAAAGUACUUAAAUAAGAAAUCCUAAAAGCCUUCAUAGUCUUCAACUUUCAUCCAUCGUUUCCAUCUACACAAUCGCUUAAGGGUAUACUUAUAUUUCUCACCUUUCAUAAGAGUGAAAGAUACUGUACGACCUACCUUUGCUUCAAUGCCAGAUAAUUUAUUUAUUUUUAUGUGUGGAAAGACGCAACUUUUGAACCAAGCCCACGAAUUGACCCAUCAACACUUCCAAAGUUUGUUGGAACAACAGGUGAUAAGGCUCCAGCAGAACUGAUAAGAUUUUCAAAUAGAAAGUCAGUUAAAUUCUAGUAGUACAUCAAACCAAGCUUUAGUUCAUAACUAAAAGAUAGUAGAUCACAGCAAAAAUCAAACCUAACAAAUGAAAAGAUGAUCAAGAACAAAGCAAUCAAGGAACACUAUAGAACUCAAUAGCUUCAAAGGAACACUAUAUAACUCAAUAGCUUCCAAGGAACACUACAUAACUCAAUCAAGACACACUACAAAACUUAUAACUGAUAUGUUCUAUUACUAAUAGAUUCCAAGGGCUAGAUCUAAUUCUUAUCAAUAUAACAUGAUUUUUUUUUUUAAAAUAGUGUGUGAUCUAUGCUCAAGAGUCUAAAAAUUAAACCCACAAUUAUUAUUAGUUUUGAGUACAUUCACGAUAAUUGAACAAUUGUUAACUAAAUCUUCCAAACAAAUAAUGUGGGUUCAGUUAGCCAUUCAAAUUUCAUCAGACUAUAUUAGAAAAAAAAAAUUAUGCUUUAGACUAAGAAAAAUAACUAUUGUAAAAGAACACGAAAAACCUUGAAAAUCCUAUGAGUGCAACAUGCUUGUGGCCAUAUUUCGUAACGUUAUAUAUGCAAAAGAAAUAUAUUUGUAUAUAUAUAAUGAAAAUUUAUGAACCUACACAUGCGCACAUCUAAUGAUAAUUACUUACUCUGCAUUUUUCAUUUUGGCAAAUCCAUCUCCAAGAAUGUUGUAAGUUACCAAGCUCAUUUCUAUGCCUUCUUUCAUUUUUCUAACACAAGAUAGUAUGAAUAAGGCUGCACAUCAUUAAAGCUUACUCUUAUCGCAAGGCGACACUGUUGAAAAAACAUUUAGAUUUAAUUAAUAUAGUAAAUAUACUUUGGCAAUGACAUAUCUACCAUCAGAGUAUAUAUUUCAAGCAUAAAAUACAUAAUUGACCUUCUAUACAAAUAAAUCAAACUUUAAUCAUAUCCAAAACUGGAAUGGUGACCUUUGUAUUGCAUCAAACCUUAUAGAACACAAGCUCGACUAGCAACUUCUCAAUUUGGCUUCGCAUUUUCUGUAUUUGAGCUCCUAAAGGAUCUCAUUUGAUCUAAAAACAAAAAAUAUUAAUAGUAAUGAAGAAAGCAGUCAAUAGUCUCCCUAAUAACUCCUAUAAACACACAAAAAAAAAAAAAACAUUGUUCUCCGUAAAUUCUUUUGUAGACUGACAAUGAAAAAGUUCAAACAAAGUGCCGUGAAAGUCAAGGGAUAUCUCAAAUGACUAUGAGCAAAUUUAUCAACAUAUAAAUAAGAAUAGAAAUUAACCAGAUUUUAAGAACAUCUGUUGCUCAUUCCCCUUGUCUUACAUGACCAGAUCAUAAUGCAAGACUUGAUAAGUAUACCCACUUGCUCUCCACAUAAUGCUUUUGAGAUAUUUCCAACCGCGAGAAGAUUAAAGAGGACAACUAUAAAAAUAAAUUUUGGUAGGAUUUCAUUAUGAUUUUUCAACAACAAUGCAAUAAAGUGAAAAAAGAAACUGAAAUCCUAAGAACCUGAGGACCAUUUAAACAUUAUAUAAUUUUAGAUUCUAGCAUCUACUCUACCUCAUGGAUGAAAGCACAUCAAAACUUAUAUUUUUAGUGCUAUAACAUUUUUUUCAGUUCAACAAAACAUCAAAAUGAAGGUGGGAAAUUCAAUCUUCUAAUUUCUUGUCUGUAUCUUUACUAGGUAAAGUAUACUCAGGUUCGCUAGUAUUAUGAUGUUAAACCAUAAUAUUAAAAUGAUGUAAUUUUUGAAGAAUAAACUUGAAAACGUACCAAGAAGGUUGUUCUCUUCCCAUAAAGUUAAUAUGCAGUAAUGUCCAUGCUAGUGGCACCUCCUGAUACCAAUUCCCUGAAAGACCAAUAAAAUGGUGAAAUUAAGUGAAAAUUUUAAUAUACAAUAAUGCAAAACAAACAAACAAAAUUGUUUAAUAAUAUGCAAGUUUAAAGCUGCCAUGUUAGAAAUGAUAUAUAGCCUCAGGCUUAAACUAGAAAAAUAAAGGGAUUAAAGAAUAUACCAAUCCGCAUUGGUUAAAAUUCUUUUGGAAGUCAACUCCAAAAUAAAGCUACAGAAAUAAUUGGCUUAACAUAAUUUUGGUUCAUGAGGCUAUGGUUUCAAGAUGGAUACUUUAUGUCCAAGCUUGGUAGUUUCUAGUAUUGUCUUUUUAUUUAUAGAGCAGAAAAAGUUGAAUCAACUAAUAGAGAAUGAUCAAUAAACCUACGAAAAAAGCAGCUACUCGAGGAAGAGGAUCCUUUUAAAGGAUUAGGCGUCCACACUCUGAAAUCCUCUCCCAUGUCUAAAACCACCUUCAGCCUUUUAAAACUCUUCAUUUUAUUUAAAUUGUGUACUUAAAAUAUUACAAUAAACCAUACCAUCAUCGAAACAAGUUGGCACCUUUCAUCCCUAUAAACUAUAAUAUAGUAAUCAAACUCUUUAAUAUCCAUUAUCUAAAUAAUCAAGAAUUUAUAAACCGUACAAGCAAUUAAGUCAAAGAUGGUUAUGUUGAUACAACCUCAUCAUCAUUUCCCACCAAAUUUGAAGUGUUAAACCAAGAACUCUCGAGGGAACAAAGAAGGAUCCACAUUUUCUUUAGCAACUAUUUUAAUACAAAAAUAAAAAAGAACCAAUGACAUGAUGAAAGUGUUGUUACUUCCCGUGCCUUGAAAAUCAAUAACUUCAAGUAUUGACUUUUUAUUUUCAUCUAGGUAUUUAACUUCUUUAUACAGAAAAAGAACAAUGUUUUUAUGGCAGGACUAUAGUUGCUAGCCUUUGAUUGGAGUCAUUAACAACCCACUUAUCUCCAUCAUCCCUACCAAAUUAUUGAACGAAUGGACUUCCGAUAGUGGAAGCGUGUGAACGCCGUAAAAAAGAAAUUUAACUUGAAACAUAGAGAAAACACCUAAACAUGCUUCUAUAGAAAAAAAAAAAAAAAAAAAAACUAACCUUUGUAGAACUUUUCAAGAAUUCUCGAACCUCCCAAAGAAUACCACGAGGAGAACAACACGAAGUCUUCCUUAUUAUUCUCAAGAUAAAAAAGACAACAGAGAGUUUGUGGGGCUUCUGUGUUCUUUUUUUUUUCGUUAAAGAGAAAAAUAUUUGCAGAGAGAUUUUUCUUUUUGGAACCAACAGAUCGUCAAAAUCCGUUUCUGGAAAGAUUGCAUGCCUCCCUUCUAUAUCUUAACCAAAAGAUAGGAAGAGAGAUGAAGAGGGAAGUUAUCA